rnacentral:rRNA from 1 species
GAAUGCUGACAUAAGUAACGAUAAAGCGGGUGAAAAGCCCGCUCGCCGGAAGACCAAGGGUUCCUGUCCAACGUUAAUCGGGGCAGGGUGAGUCGACCCCUAAGGCGAGGCCGAAAGGCGUAGUCGAUGGGAAACGGGUUAAUAUUCCCGUACUUGGUGUUACUGCGAAGGGGGGACGGAGAAGGCUAUGUUGGCCGGGCGACGGUUGUCCCGGUUUAAGCGUGUAGGUGUGUGUUCCAGGUAAAUCCGGUUCACUUUAACACUGAGGCGUGACGACGAGGCACUACGGUGCUGAAGCAACAAAUGCCCUGCUUCCAGGAAAAGCCUCUAAGCAUCAGGUAACAUCAAAUCGUACCCCAAACCGACACAGGUGGUCAGGUAGAGAAUACCAAGGCGCUUGAGAGAACUCGGGUGAAGGAACUAGGCAAAAUGGUGCCGUAACUUCGGGAGAAGGCACGCUGACACGUAGGUGAAGUGAUUUACUCAUGGAGCUGAAGUCAGUCGAAGAUACCAGCUGGCUGCAACUGUUUAUUAAAAACACAGCACUGUGCAAACACGAAAGUGGACGUAUACGGUGUGACGCCUGCCCGGUGCCGGAAGGUUAAUUGAUGGGGUCAGCGCAAGCGAAGCUCCUGAUCGAAGCCCCGGUAAACGGCGGCCGUAACUAUAACGGUCCUAAGGUAGCGAAAUUCCUUGUCGGGUAAGUUCCGACCUGCACGAAUGGCGUAAUGAUGGCCAGGCUGUCUCCACCCGAGACUCAGUGAAAUUGAACUCGCUGUGAAGAUGCAGUGUACCCGCGGCAAGACGGAAAGACCCCGUGAACCUUUACUAUAGCUUGACACUGAACAUUGAGCCUUGAUGUGUAGGAUAGGUGGGAGGCUUUGAAGUGUGGACGCCAGUCUGCAUGGAGCCGACCUUGAAAUACCACCCUUUAAUGUUUGAUGUUCUAACGUGGACCCGUGAUCCGGGUUGCGGACAGUGUCUGGUGGGUAGUUUGACUGGGGCGGUCUCCUCCUAAAGAGUAACGGAGGAGCACGAAGGUUGGCUAAUCCUGGUCGGACAUCAGGAGGUUAGUGCAAUGGCAUAAGCCAGCUUGACUGCGAGCGUGACGGCGCGAGCAGGUGCGAAAGCAGGUCAUAGUGAUCCGGUGGUUCUGAAUGGAAGGGCCAUCGCUCAACGGAUAAAAGGUACUCCGGGGAUAACAGGCUGAUACCGCCCAAGAGUUCAUAUCGACGGCGGUGUUUGGCACCUCGAUGUCGGCUCAUCACAUCCUGGGGCUGAAGUAGGUCCCAAGGGUAUGGCUGUUCGCCAUUUAAAGUGGUACGCGAGCUGGGUUUAGAACGUCGUGAGACAGUUCGGUCCCUAUCUGCCGUGGGCGCUGGAGAACUGAGGGGGGCUGCUCCUAGUACGAGAGGACCGGAGUGGACGCAUCACUGGUGUUCGGGUUGUCAUGCCAAUGGCACUGCCCGGUAGCUAAAUGCGGAAGAGAUAAGUGCUGAAAGCAUCUAAGCACGAAACUUGCCCCGAGAUGAGUUC